UAUGGACACCAAAUAUGUUUUUUUUCUGAGGUAAAUGUGACGUUACCUGACAUCGUUUACAAGACGUUAUACUGACGUCUUUGCGCAGAGGAAAUACUG